UACAAAGAGGCUCCUCUGAUGAUGUCUUGA
rnacentral:piRNA from 1 species